rnacentral:rRNA from 1 species
AGUGAACGCUGGCGGUAGGCCUAACACAUGCAAGUCGAACGGCAGCACAGUAAGAGCUUGCUCUUACGGGUGGCGAGUGGCUGACGGGUGAGGAAUACAUCGGAAUCUACUUUUUCGUGGGGGAUAACGUAGGGAAACUUACGCUAAUACCGCAUACGACCUACGGGUGAAAGCAGGGGAUCUUCGGACCUUGCGCGAUUGAAUGAGCCGAUGUCGGAUUAGCUAGUUGGCGGGGUAAAGGCCCACCAAGGCGACGAUCCGUAGCUGGUCUGAGAGGAUGAUCAGCCACACUGGAACUGAGACACGGUCCAGACUCCUACGGGAGGCAGAAGUGGGGAAUAUUGGACAAUGGGCGCAAGCCUGAUCCAGCCAUACCGCGUGGGUGAAGAAGGCCUUCGGGUUGUAAAGCCCUUUUGUUGGGAAAGAAAAGCAGCAGGUUAAUACCCCGCUGUUCUGACGGUACCCAAAGAAUAAGCACCGGCUAACUUCGUG